AGCAGCAGCCGCGGUAAUACAGUGGGUGCGAGCGUUAAUCGGAUUUACUGGGCGUAAAGCGUGCGUAGGCGGCUUUUUAAGUCGGAUGUGAAAUCCCUGAGCUUAACUUAGGAAUUGCAUUCGAUACUGGGAAGCUAGAGUAUGGGAGAGGAUGGUAGAAUUCCAGGUGUAGCGGUGAAAUGCGUAGAGAUCUGGAGGAAUACCGAUGGCGAAGGCAGCCAUCUGGCCUAAUACUGACGCUGAGGUACGAAAGCAUGGGGAGCAAACAGGAUUAGAGACCCCAGUAGUCCCUGUCUCUUAUAC
rnacentral:rRNA from 1 species